CUUCUACCCGUCUCCAAGUUUCUUCUGCGGGAUCCCACAGGGAAUCCACAUCUGUUGGUAUUAUAUGGACGUCUGUCACUGGUGGCCUGGAACGUUUCCGGGGUUCCUGGGAUGUGUCAGGUCUAUCAACAACAGCUAGAGAGUUACUUUGGGACUAUUGGACGCCUGGCACAGAAGAUCAUAUCUGCAAGCCUGGCGAUCCUGGCGUGGCUAGUAUCUGGAGAGACGUUUGGAUCCCUUUACAGCCCCUAUCAUGGCCGUCCUGAAUUUCUUGGCCAGAUUAUUUUCUCAGGGUAAGUUGUAUAGGG